GCAGGUUCAGGCACAGUUUAGACACCAGCACCUUUUAAAAAGUAUCACUUUAGCACCGGUAUCGGGAAAAACCCAAACCAUACCACACCCUAUUUCUGUUUUCCAGACAACUC